rnacentral:sRNA from 1 species
UGAUGGACCUGACCUUGUUGUUUUGGGGAGGAUUGCGGAAGGACUUUGAAACUUUGGGCAAGAGACGCUGUUGAGUGUUCAGAGCUUGGUGAGCUGUUCUGCGGGAGCGUGAAUAAAGAAUGUUGAGAGAAAUGCAGACGUCUGGCUUGUGAAAUUCCAGAGGGAAGUUUGAGAGUCACUUAAAAAACUUAUCAGGCCUGUUUGCUAUUUUGAGUUGAGCGUCCGUGGCUCUGGUUAGCAGGGGCCGAAGAAUCAGUUGUGAUUAAAAAUUGAUCAGGACCACUAACGUAUAAUCUUUGUUUUGCUGUGGCAAUGGAUGCUGGUCAGCUGGAGCUAAGAAAUUAACGGUGAUUAAGAAGACGUCAGCAUGUGUUGAGGUGAAGUCUUCUGGGAACCUGUUUCCUCAGAGUCAAAACACAGAAACUGCUGGCAGCUGAGCUUGGUGAUGUGUAAGUCGCCCAGGUGGCUUUGACGGCAUGGCGGGGGUCAUGGAGAACAGCUGAAGUUUGGCCCUGUGGGAGACUAGGAGAGGCUGCUCGUGAAGGUGCAGCCUCAGUGGCAGUUGAAAGCCUAGAUUUAAAGGGGUCAUGCAGAGAAGCUGAGGCUUGGCACCAUAAAGAGAGUUUAGGAGAGGUGACUACCGGCGAAGGCGCAGCUCAGUUGGAGCAGAAGAGUCCAGCAUUUUGGAAAUGCCUACCACAGGAUGAGCACCGAGAACAGCGGCAGUGGUGGUGUGGAGCAUGGAGCUCAGAAGAAAAGCGGCGUGUGCUGCACAGCAUGGAGCAGGGGAAGCGACUCAAGCCAUUUGGAGGAUCCCAGAUUAUUCUAACUUGCAUGGAAAAAGAAACCUCUUGGUUUGGAACCCAUCUCUCGCUGCCACGGUAGACAGCUCCCCCUUUCAUGAGCAUGCGUCAGGCCGCAGGGUGCUUCGCUGUGUUUCCAGGAGGGCAGACGUCCAAAGGAAGAAAUAACCAGACUUUACUGUUGCUUGCAAGAAAUGAAAGCCACCCUCACACCCAGGGCUUCUCCUGUAUUUCAAUUCAUUUCAAGCGGGGGGGUUGGGGGUGAAGAGAAAAAGAAAAAAACUAAAAGUGACAAGAGAGACAGCUUCUCUUUUCAUCCGGAUGAGAGCUACAUUUCAUGACUUAAAAAAAAAAAAAAAUCCUGUUCAUUUAAACAGCACUAAAUGCUUCCUGGUCUGGAUAUAUAAAAUGAUUGGACGGUCACUGCUGACCAUUCAUCUGAGACCCUGAUGUGCCACAGUCGAUUUUGGAGAACGGCUCUGCCACUUAAUGUGACAAACACCCAGCCCUGCCGUUUAAGGGGUCUUUGAGAAAGGCCGUCCCCACAUGAAAUGAAUUCAGCGGCAGCCAUUUGUCAUUUUGCCCUUCCUUUUCUGGAGAGAGAGAGAGAGAGAUUUAAAAAAAAAAA